AAUGAACGCUGGCGGCAUGCCUAAUACAUGCAAGUCGAACGAGUGGCGGACUGGUGAGUAAUUGCUGGACAACUGCCUGAUGGAGGGGGAUGACUCCUGUAAACGUUAGCUACUACUGCUUAACAUCAUAUGGGCUCAGACGGGAUUAGCUAGUUGGUGGGGUAACGUCUCACCAAGGCGUCGAUCCCUAGCUGGUCUGAGAGGAUGACCAGCCACACUGGAACUGAGACACGGUCCAGACUCCUACGGGAGGCAGCAGUGGGGAAUAUUGGGCAAUGGGCGAAAGCCUGAUGCAGCCAUGCCGCGUGUGUGAAGAAGGCUUUCGGGUUGUAAAGUACUGUCAUCAGGGAAGCGUUAUCCGAAGAGGAAGCAACGGCUAACUCCGUGCCAGCAGCCGCGGUAAUAC
rnacentral:rRNA from 1 species